rnacentral:rRNA from 1 species
CAAAGGUUGAUUCCGGUGGCGGAUGGGCAUGCGUCGCAUUAGUUAGUUGGCGGUGUAACGGACCACCAAGACGACGAUGCGUAGGGGUUCUGAGAGGAAGGUCCCCCACACUGGUACUGAGACACGGACCAGACUCCUACGGGAGGCAGCAGUGAGGAAUAUUGGUCAAUGGGCGGGAGCCUGAACCAGCCAAGUCGCGUGAGGGAUGACGGCCCUAUGGGUUGUAAACCUCUUUUGCCGGGGAGCAAAGUGCCGCACGUGUGCGGUUUGGAGAGUACCCGGAGAAAAAGCAUCGGCUAACUCCGUGCCAGCAGCCGCGGUAAUACGGAGGAUGCGAGCGUUAUCCGGAUUUAUUGGGUUUAAAGGGUGCGUAGGCGGACGCUUAAGUCAGCGGUAAAAUUGCGGGGCUCGACCUCGUCGAGCCGUUGAAACUGGGUGCCUUGAGUGGGCGAGAAGUACGCGGAAUGCGUGGUGUAGCGGUGAAAUGCAUAGAUAUCACGCAGAACUCCGAUUGCGAAGGCAGCGUACCGGCGCCCAACUGACGCUGAAGCACGAAGGCGUGGGUAUCGAACAGGAUUAGAUACCCUGGUAGUCCACGCAGUAAACGAUGAAUGCUAGUUGUCCGGGGCGAUUGAGUUCUGG